GUUCCUGUAACGCAAGAUACAGCGCGUUAGACAUCUAAUCCAAUGGUCGUGGGUUCGAAUCCCACCUGGAAUG